UUUUUCUUCAAGCGGUUUGAAGACAUAUCCAUUCAUCCCACUCUUUGUGCAUUGCUCAAUUGUAGCUGGAAAUACAUCGGCUGUCAUGGCAAAUAUAGGUAAAUGCCACUGAUUGUUAUUUUCUUCCGUUGUGUUCUUAUUUGCUAUGCUCUCCAUCAUGCGUAUCUGCCUCGUUGUUUCCAUCCUGUCAAAAUAGAUAAAUCACUCAUAAGUAUAUACCCUUAUGUUAAAAGAAUUGAAGUUCAUACAUGUCCAGUUUUAUUAAGAAAUAAAAAUGUAAAGUUGUAAACAAAACAAAAAACAACAAUCAGUAUCAAAAGCAAGAGAUUUACCCAUCCAUUCCAGGCAUUUGGACAUCCAUGAAACACAUAUCAAAUUUAUGUGGUAUUUGGAGGCAAGAAAGCGCAUUUUCACCACUAUGGAUAUAUUGCACAUUAGCACCAUACUUUUUGAAUUGACUUUGAGCAACUCUACAAUUAAUUAUGUUGUCAUCAACAAUUAAGAUAUUUUUCCCCCUUAGCAUGGUAUGACAAGAAUUUGAAAUAUUUUGAGUUUCUUUCUUUUUCUCUUCUUCCAAAAUAAAUAAUGGUUUGAGAUAAGCAGCCAAUAAACUUGAUCUUAAAGGUUUCACAAUCAAAGCAUCAAAGAUAUCUUUAUUAUUAAUUUCACCAGAAUCUGAGGUUGCCAAAAGAAUUAAUUUAGGCAUCACGGGUAUAUUGUAUUUUUUCUUCCAAUCAAGAAACUUCUUAUGAAAACUACUACCCAUAUCCGUUUUCCAUAGAUCUUUCUCUAUCAAUAGAAGGUUUAUAUUUUUCCGAGUACUGCACAAGCAAUAGUAACACAGGCAAAAUAAGUCAAAUGAGAUUUACGAAAAACUGAUUUCUAGAAAACAAAAAGCAGAACAAAGGAAUAUGUUCAAUUAACAGAGAAAAAAUAGGAACUAAAAUAGUUACUUCUAACCAUAAGCAACAUGCAUUGUACUAAUAUUAAAACCCAUUAAAAAAUCCAUAAAUAAAGGAAACACAAAAAAUAGAUGCAAUUGAAGAUAAUGAAGUUCAUAAAAACAUUUCCUUAAGCUGUUAAGUGUUAAGCAACAUGAAUAAGUUAAACAACAUAAGGUUCUAAGGCUGACAUGCAUACCAAUGAUGUGAAAUUCUGAAUUAAUCCAUGUGAUCAAUCAAAGUCGUCUUAAUUAAAAUGUAUAGAUAUUACUAUAUUAGAGAUGUAUUUUUUAUGAUCAUAACAUCUUAUAUUAAACAAUCAAAUAUUGAUUGAUGAUGUAUUUGUUUAGCAUUUAAAGAAUGCAGAUCAUUAUAAAAAUUGAAGGAAUUAUAUAUAUAGGAAAAUAUUCAUUAGAUUCAUAGAAAAAUCUACUAAUGCUAAUGCAAUGAAACCUAAAUAUGAAAUCAGAUCAAGACAUUGACUUAAACAAUUCAGAUGAAAUUAGUUUCAAACAAUUAUUUCAAGCAUGAUUUUAUGGAACAAAACUUACCUUUGCAAUAAACGACUAUUUUCCCCUGUUACAAGCACAAGAGCAUCUAUUAAAUUACUAAUGUUUUGCACCGUAAUACCCAACCUUUGCAAAUGAUAUUUAGUGAUAGCCCCUCUAAUUGGUCUAUCAUCAACCACAACUGCAUUAAUCCCUUUGUUGGGAAACGAAAAUGUCUUUCUCUUGAUAUCAAUGUUAGUACUUUGAUCACAUUUUGUAAACAUGCUGGUAAAUGCAAAGGUACUUCCAAUGUCAGAUCGACUAAUAAAGCUCAUUUGUCCACCCAUCAAUUCAACCAGACUUUUGCUAAUGCUAAGACCAAUACCAGUUCCUCCAUAGUUUCUGGAAAUUGAGCUAUCUGCUUGCAUGAAUGGUAUAAAUAUCUGAUUUUUAGCAUGUUGUGGAAUUCCAAUUCCAGUAUCCUCUACAGUUACCACUAGAGUUACAUCAUAAUCAGAGAUGUGAACAAAUUCAGAGAGA
rnacentral:lncRNA from 1 species